AGUGAACGCUGGCGGUAGGCCUAACACAUGCAAGUCGAACGGCAGCACAGUAAGAGCUUGCUCUUACGGGUGGCGAGUGGCGGACGGGUGAGGAAUACAUCGGAAUCUACUUUUUCGUGGGGGAUAGCGUAGGGAAACUUACGCUAAUACCGCAUACGACCUACGGGUGAAAGCAGGGGAUCUUCGGACCUUGCGCGAUUGAAUGAGCCGAUGUCGGAUUAGCUAGUUGGCGGGGUAAAGGCCCACCAAGGCGACGAUCCGUAGCUGGUCUGAGAGGAUGAUCAGCCACACUGGAACUGAGACACGGUCCAGACUCCUACGGGAGGCAGCAGUGGGGAAUAUUGGACAAUGGGCGCAAGCCUGAUCCAGCCAUACUGCGUGGGUGAAGAAGGCCUUCGGGUUGUAAAGCCCUUUUGUUGGGAAAGAAAAGCAGCAGGUUAAUACCCCGCUGUUCUGACGGUACCCAAAGAAUAAGCACCGGCUAACUUCGUG
rnacentral:rRNA from 1 species